rnacentral:sRNA from 1 species
AAGUAAUGGUAUCUUUCCAGGAAGGGAAAAGUUAAAAAAAAUGAAAACAGGCAGGUCUGCACUUGUUGUAACUGACACAGGAGAUAUGUCAUUAUUGAAUUCUCCCAGACAUCAGAGCUGUAUAAUGCAUGUUGAUAUGGAUUGCUUCUUUGUAUCAGUGGGUAUACGAAAUAGACCAGAUCUCAAAGGUCUGUAUUCUUGCUUAUGUUUUAAGAAAAUUGAUAUAUUGUUAUAAAUAUAUAUUCAAAGAGAUUACAAAAUCUUUUUAAAAAAAAUUCUGAUUUUCCUUGGGAAAAUUGGUUCUUCCAAAUUUUCUAUAUUCGAUUAUCAAGGAAGGUAUAGGGAAAUUAGAAUUUUUCUUUCUCCCUAUAGAGAUCUUCAGGGAAGAAUAUUCAUCUUCAGCUGAAGGAUAUGUCAUCGAAGACUAAUGUAGGCAGGAUCUGUAUUGGGCAUUUUCUAAAUUUUUAUCUGUAUUUAUUCCUUGUUAAUGAAUGGAAAUUUUAUGGUGGCUCUUGUCUUUGAGACUUGGGCCACUAUGCUUUCUCUU